GACGAACGCUGGCGGCGUGCUUAACACAUGCAAGUCGAACGGAAAGGCCCUGCUUUUGUGGGGUGCUCGAGUGGCGAACGGGUGAGUAACACGUGAGUAACCUGCCCUUGACUUUGGGAUAACUUCAGGAAACUGGGGCUAAUACCGGAUAGGAGCUCCUGCUGCAUGGGUGGGGUUGGAAAGUUUCGGCGGUUGGGGAUUGAGUGGCGGCUUAUCAGCUUGUUGGUGGGGUAGUGGCUUACCAAGGCUUUGAGGGGUAGCCGGCCUGAGAGGGUGACCGGCCCCAUUGGGCCUGGGAUACGGGCCAGACUGCUACGGGAGGCAGCAGUGGGGAAUAUUGCACAAUGGGCGGAAGCCUGAUGCAGAAACGCCGCGUGCGGGAUGACGGCCUUCGGGUUGUAAACCGCUUUCGCCUGUGACGCAGCGUGAGUGACGGUAAUGGGUAAAGAAGCACCGGCUAACUACGUG
rnacentral:rRNA from 1 species